AGGAAAGGGUGCUGAACUUAAGAAUCAUAGCACCCUAAUUCACAUCCUGGCUCUGUUACUUCUUAUCUUUUUAAACUUGGGCAGGUCCCUAAAACUUUCUGAGCCUUAGUUUCCUCAAUUAUAAAAUAAGGGGAUUAGACUGAGGGUCAGUACAGUACCUUCUGAUUCUGGAUCUGUGACCCUGUCUCUCAUCCAUCCAUCCAUCCAUCCAUCCUCCAUCCAUCCAUUCAUCCAUCCAUUCAUCCAUCCAUUCAUGAGACUAAAGUCCAUCAUUAAUAUAACCUCAGGGAAAAGGUCCUGAAAUUGAAUGGAUUCCCACAUAUACACAUGAGUAGGUGUUAUAUCAUCCUCAGGAAGAAAAUUUUGAGAUGGAAGGAACAUUGGAAAUCAACUAGUUCAAUUCCCUCAAGAAAUUGGGGUCCACAGAUGUGAAAAAAUCUGCCCAAUGUCACAUAGAUAGCAUAUAAUAAGGAGACCUACUCUUUUGGUGCAGCUCAUAAAUAUUACAAUCAAUUCUUUCUACCACCUUCCCCAAUAAGAAAUUAAAAAUAACCAGGUGUUCAA